ACUGGACAGAAAUGGCAUUUGGGAGAGCUAAGAUAUAGUAAUUUUUGACUUUCCAAGAAUUCAGUUCAAGCUAUCUGUAUGUUUCUCAAGUGCUAAAAUCACAGUCUGUACUGACUGGACUAAAUAACAUCAAUACACAUUUAUUAUUUUUUGUAGGCUAUCAUGUAAACAAAUAGAUAACCAAGUACCACUGUUCUCAUGUUCUGUGUGAAUUCCCACCUAUUCUCCUUUAAUCCUCAUAGGGUAUUUUCCCUAUUUUAUGUUGAGUAGACACAUUAGAUUGAUGAAGUAACUCACCGUUUGGCACUGUAUUCAUUCCUAGAGAGAAAGUCUGGAAUACCAUAGUAAACACAAUUCUGAAACUUCAUGUUACAACUUGAAGUCUUAUAAAGAUUAUUCCUCUACAAGCCAGGCGGAAUAUACAUAAUUUGGGAAUUAAAGCUGGCCUUGAACUCCUCGGCUCAAAGUGAUCCUGUUUGCUGUACCCUCUGCAGUACCUGGGACUAUAGAUACAGAAACUGAGAUGUAGCAUUUCUUGGGAAAGAGUGGACUCCAGCAGGUUGAGGCUAGAAUCUUCAUCUCUAGUCUCUUGUUUCAAGAAUCAAGAGCUGUCUUUUCAUUUUUAUAGCUGUUUUAUGAAUAUAGGUCCUGAAACAAGAGCUCCACAAUUAUAUAUCAACCAAACCAAAGAUAAACAUACGGUAGAAUGAU